AUACGUAGGGGGCGAGCGUUGUCCGGAAUGAUUGGGCGUAAGGGGCGCGUAGGCGGCCCGGUAAGUCUGGAGUGAAAGUCCUGUUUUUAAGAUGGGAAUUGCUUUGGAUACUGUCGGGCUUGAGUGCAGGAGAGGUAAGUGGAAUUCCCAGUGUAGCGGUGAAAUGCGUAGAGAUUGGGAGGAACACCAGUGGCGAAGGCGACUUACUGGACUGUAACUGACGCUGAGGCGCGAAAGUGUGGGGAGCAAACAGGAUUAGAUACCCUGGUAGUCCACACUGUAAACGAUGAAUGCGAGGUGUAGGGGGUAUCGACCCCUUCUGUGCCGCAGUCAACACAAUAAGCAUUCCGCCUGGGGAGUACGGCCGCAAGGUUGAAACUCAAAGGAAUUGACGGGG
rnacentral:rRNA from 1 species